GACGAACGCUGGCGGCGUGCCUAAUACAUGCAAGUAGGACGCAGUUGCGAACGGGUGAGUAACGCGUAGGUAACUACCUAUUAGAGGGGGAUAACUAUUGGAAACGAUAGCUAAUACCGCAUACUAGUAGAUGGACCUGCGUUGUAUUAGCUAGUAGGUUGGGUAAUGGCCUACCUAGGAAACGAUACAUAGCCGACCUGGGAGGGUGAUCGGCCACAAUGGGACUGAGAAACGGGCCAGACUCCUUCGGGAGGGAGCAGUAGGGGAUCUUCGGGAAUGGGGGGAACCCUGACCGGGCAACGCCGCGUGAGUGAAGAAGGUUUUCGGAUCGUAAAGCUCUGUUGGUAAGGAAGCGGUACUUAACCAGAAAGGGACGGCUAACUACGUGCCAGCCGCCGCGGUAAUUC
rnacentral:rRNA from 1 species